rnacentral:rRNA from 1 species
UGCAGUCGAACGGUAACAGGAAGCAGCUUGCUGCUUCGCUGACGAGUGGCGGACGGGUGAGUAAUGUCUGGGAAACUGCCUGAUGGAGGGGGAUAACUACUGGAAACGGUAGCUAAUACCGCAUAACGUCGCAAGACCAAAGAGGGGGACCUUCGGGCCUCUUGCCAUCGGAUGUGCCCAGAUGGGAUUAGCUAGUAGGUGGGGUAACGGCUCACCUAGGCGACGAUCCCUAGCUGGUCUGAGAGGAUGACCAGCCACACUGGAACUGAGACACGGUCCAGACUCCUACGGGAGGCAGCAGUGGGGAAUAUUGCACAAUGGGCGCAAGCCUGAUGCAGCCAUGCCGCGUGUAUGAAGAAGGCCUUCGGGUUGUAAAGUACUUUCAGCGGGGAGGAAGGCGAUAAGGUUAAUAACCUUGUCGAUUGACGUUACCCGCAGAAGAAGCACCGGCUAACUCCGUGCCAGCAGCCGCGGUAAUACGGAGGGUGCAAGCGUUAAUCGGAAUUACUGGGCGUAAAGCGCACGCAGGCGGUCUGUCAAGUCGGAUGUGAAAUCCCCCGGGCUCAACCUGGGAACUGCAUCCGAAACUGGCAGGCUAGAGUCUUGUAGAGGGGGGUAGAAUUCCCAGGUGUAGCGGUGAAAUGCGUAGAGAUCUGGAGGAAUACCGGUGGCGAAGGCGGCCCCCUGGACAAAGACUGACGCUCAGGUGCGAAAGCGUGGGGGAGCAAACAGGAUUAGAUACCCUGGUAGUCCACGCCGUAAACGAUGUCGACUUGGAGGUUGUGCCCUUGAGGCGUGGCUUCCGGAGCUAACGCGUUAAGUCGACCGCCUGGGGAGUACGGCCGCAAGGUUAAAACUCAAAUGAAUUGACGGGGGGCCCGCACAAGCGGUGGAGCAUGUGGUUUAAUUCGAUGCAACGCGAAGAACCUUACCUACUCUUGACAUCCAGAGAACUUAGCAGAGAUGGUUUGGUGCCUUCGGGAACUCUGAGACAGGUGCUGCAUGGCUGUCGUCAGCUCGUGUUGUGAAAUGUUGGGUUAAGUCCCGCAACGAGCGCAACCCUUAUCCUUUGUUGCCAGCGGUCCGGCCGGGAACUCAAAGGAGACUGCCAGUGAUAAACUGGAGGAAGGUGGGGAUGACGUCAAGUCAUCAUGGCCCUUACGAGUAGGGCUACACACGUGCUACAAUGGCGCAUACAAAGAGAAGCGACCUCGCGAGAGCAAGCGGACCUCAUAAAGUGCGUCGUAGUCCGGAUUGGAGUCUGCAACUCGACUCCAUGAAGUCGGAAUCGCUAGUAAUCGUGGAUCAGAAUGCCACGGUGAAUACGUUCCCGGGCCUUGUACACACCGCCCGUCACACCAUGGGAGUGGGUUGCAAAAGAAGUAGGUAGCUUAACCUUCGGGAGGGCGCUUACCACUUUGUGAUUCAUGA